rnacentral:tRNA from 1 species
CAUUUAGUGGUGUAUCUGCACAUAGAAAUUUGGUUUCUAAAGAAAGACUGCAACCUUCUAAUGA